rnacentral:rRNA from 1 species
AUUGAACGCUGGCGGCAGGCCUAACACAUGCAAGUCGAGCGGAGCUGCGGACGGGUGAGUGAUGCCUAGGAAUCUGCCUGGUCUUGGGGGAUAACGUCCGUAAACGGGCGCUAAUACCGCAUACUUUCAGCUGAGCCUAGGUUGGAUGAGCUAGUUGGUGGGGUAAAGGCUUACCAAGGCGACGAUCCGUAGCUGCCCUGAGAGGAUGAUCAGUCACACUGGAACUGAGACACGGUCCAGACUCCUACGGGAGGCAGCAGUGGGGAAUAUUGCACAAUGGGCGAAAGCCUGAUGCAGCCACGCCGCGUGUAUGAAGAAGGCCUUCGGGUUGUAAAGUACUUUCAGCGGGGAGGCGUUACCCGCAGAAGAAGCACCGGCUAACUCCGUGCCAGCAGCCGCGGUAAUUC